rnacentral:rRNA from 1 species
CAGCCGCCACGGGAAUGCGUAGGUGGCAAGCGUUGUCCGGAAUUAUUGGGCGUAAAGGGCUCGCAGGCGGUUUCUUAAGUCUGAUGUGAAAGCCCCCGGCUCAACCGGGGAGGGUCAUUGGAAACUGGGAAACUUGAGUGCAGAAGAGGAGAGUGGAAUUCCACGCGUAGCGGUGAAAUGCGUAGAGAUGUGGAGGAACACCAGUGGCGAAGGCGACUCUCUGGUCUGCAACUGACGCUGAGGAGCGAAAGCGUGGGGAGCGAACAGGAUUAGAUACCCCUGUAGUCCCUGUCUCUUAUAC